CCUACGGGAGGCUGCAGUGAGGAAUAUUGGUCAAUGGACGAGAGUCUGAACCAGCCAAGUAGCGUGAAGGAUGAAUGCCCUAUGGGUUGUAAACUUCUGUUAUAAAGGAAUAAAACGAGGCACGUGUGCAUUUUUGCAUGUACGUUAUGAAUAAGGAUCGGCUACCUCCGUGCCAGCAGCCGCGGUAAGACGGAGGAUCCGAGCGUUAUACGGAUUUAGUGGGUUGAAAGGGAGCGUAGAUGGGUUGUUAAGUCAGUUGUGAAAGUUUGCGGCUCAACCGUAAAAUUGCAAUUGAUACUGUCAGUCUUGAGUACAGUUGAGGUCGGCGGAAUUCGUGGUGUAGCGG
rnacentral:rRNA from 1 species